CUUGCUAAGUUUGAUGGCGACCGGCGCACGGGUGAGUAACACGUAUCCAACCUGCCGAUGACUCGGGGAUAGCCUUUCGAAAGAAAGAUUAAUACCCGAUGGCAUAGUUCUUCCGCAUGGUGGAACUAUUAAAGAAUUUCGGUUAUCGAUGGGGAUGCGUUCCAUUAGGCAGUUGGUGGGGUAACGGCCCACCAAACCUUCGAUGGAUAGGGGUUCUGAGAGGAAGGUCCCCCACAUUGGAACUGAGACACGGUCCAAACUCCUACGGGAGGCAGCAUG
rnacentral:rRNA from 1 species